CCCGGCGUUGAAUCCAAUUGAACCGCAGCUCCACCCGUUGUAGUGCUCCCCCGCCGAUUCCUUUAAGUUUCAGCCUUGCGACCGUACUUCCCAGGUGACUCGCUUCAAGUUUUCACUUCGGCACCAAAUGCGGUCGCACCGCACCUGACACCUAGCGAGCAUCGUUUACGGCUGGGACUACCCGGGUAUCUAAUCCGGUUCGUGCCCCCAGCUUUCGUCCCUCACCGUCGGACCCGUUCUGGUGGGAUGCCUUCGCCAUCGGUGGUCCCCCAAGGAUUACGAGAUUUCACCCCUACCCCUGGAGUACCUCCCACCUCUCCCGGUCCCAAGCCUACCAGUAUCUCUUGAACGCCUGACGAUUGAGUCGCCAGAUUUCCCAAGAGACUUAAUAGGCCGGCUACGGACCCUUUAAACCCAAUGAUAACGGCUACCACUCGGGCCGCCGGUGUUACCGCGGCGGCUGGCACCGGUCUUGCCCGGCCCUUGCUAACAACUGUUUUUUGAACAGCUGGACAGCCAGCACUAGGUGCUGGCACUCGGGGUCCCCUUAUCGCGGUUUCCCGCAGUGUAAAGUUUUCGCGCCUGCUGCACCCCGUAGGGCCUGGAUUCAUGUCUCAGAAUCCAUCUCAGGGCUCUUGCUCUCACAACCCUUACCCGUCGUAGGCUAGUAGGUACGUUACACCCACUACUACCUGAUAGGCCGCAGACCCAUCCUUGGGCGCCGGAGCUUUCGAACAAAGAACAUUCCAGUAUCUUUGAUCUAUCCGGUAUUAGUCCCAGUUUCCCGGGGUUAUCCCAAACCCAAGGGCAGGUUAUCCGCGUGUUACUGAGCAAUAUGCCGAGGGCUUACCCCUCUCAACUCGCAUGGCUUAGUCGGACCCCGAUAGCAGUAGCCUCUGGCAGGAUCAACCGGAA
rnacentral:rRNA from 1 species